CUCAAAGAAGAACGUAAGCUAAAUGAGAUUUACUUGCUGCUGAUACCACGGACUAAUCUAUGCAAGUGGUAACCUUUGUUGCCACAAUCUCAGUGACAUUCACAUUUGUCUGCCUAGAAUAUCAGGGACCACUGGCUGUUUUGCAUAGGCAAAUGGGAGGGUUUACCAGGGGUUCGCGAAUCGCGAGUAUCAAAAUUACACGUACACUCAAAGCACUUUAACAACAUAUGCUAAAUGAACAUGGUGCAUGUCCAUAGGUCCAGGCACCCAGUUGCUCAUGACUACAACAAUUUAAGUAGCCUUAUCCUAUUAUAACGGGGGUACAUGUGCUAGGCAAACAUAGCAUUUUG